rnacentral:rRNA from 1 species
UGUGUAGGCGGCUCUCUAAGUUUGGUGUGAAAUCUCCCGGCUCAACCGGGAGGGUGCGCCGAAAACUGGAGGGCUAGAGUGCGGGAUGGGAGGAGUAGAAUUCCUGGUGUAGCGGUGAAAUGCGUAGAUAUCAGGAGGAAUACCGGUGGUGUAGACGGCUCUCUGGACCGCAACUGACGCUGAAACACGGAAAGCGUGGGUAGCAAACAGGAUUAGAUACCCUGGUAGUCCACGCCCUAAACGAUGCAUAUUUGGUGUAGGUCAUUCAGUUGAUCUGUGCCGGAGCUAACGCGUUAAAUAUGCCGCCUGGGGAGUACAGUCGCAAGGCUGAA